rnacentral:misc_RNA from 1 species
UUAAGUUCAGCGGGUAUCCCUACCUGAUCCGAGGUCAACCAUAGAAAGUUGGGUUUGCUGGCAGGCAUCCGCUGGGGCCCAGUAGCGAGGAGUAUUACUACGCUCAGGGCCCAGCGGCGCCGCCACUGGUUAGACGCUGCCGUCGCCGGCAGGGCCCAACACCAAGCAGAGCUUGAGGGUUGAAGUGACGCUCGAACAGG